rnacentral:rRNA from 1 species
GUGGGGAAUUUUGGACAAUGGGCGCAAGCCUGAUCCAGCCAUGCCGCGUGAGUGAAGAAGGCCUUCGGGUUGUAAAGCUCUUUCGGACGGGAAGAAAUGGCGGGCUCUAACAUAGCCUGUCGAUGACGGUACCGUAAGAAGAAGCACCGGCUAACUACGUGCCAGCAGCCGCGGUAAUACGUAGGGUGCGAGCGUUAAUCGGAAUUACUGGGCGUAAAGCGUGCGCAGGCGGUUUUGUAAGACAGAUGUGAAAUCCCCGGGCUUAGCCUGGGAACUGCGUUGGUGACUGCAAGGCGGGAGUACGGCAGAGGGCGGUGGAAUUCCGCGUGUAGCAGUGAAAUGCGUAGAGAUGUGGAGGAACACCGAUGGCGAAGGCAGCCCCCUGGGCCUGUACUGACGCUCAUGCACGAAAGCGUGGGGAGCAAACA